rnacentral:rRNA from 1 species
AUUGAACGCUGGCGGCAUGCUUUACACAUGCAAGUCGAACGGUAACAGGCCGCAAGGUGCUGACGAGUGGCGAACGGGUGAGUAAUGCAUCGGAACGUGCCCAGUCGUGGGGUAUAACUACUCGAAAGAGUAGCUAAUACCGCAUACGACCUAUGGAUGAAAGCGGGGGACCGUAAGGCAUCGCGCGAUUGGAGCGGCCGAUGUCAGAUUAGGUAGUUGGUGGGGUAAAGGCUCACCAAGCCAACGAUCUGUAGCUGGUCUGAGAGGACGACCAGCCACACUGGGACUGAGACACGGCCCAGACUCCUACGGGAGGCAGCAGUGGGGAAUUUUGGACAAUGGGCGCAAGCCUGAUCCAGCAAUGCCGCGUGCAGGAAGAAGGCCUUCGGGUUGUAAACUGCUUUUGUACGGAAAGAAACGGCUCUGGUUAAUACCCGGGGCUAAUGACGGUACCGUAAGAAUAAGCACCGGCUAACUACGUG